rnacentral:rRNA from 1 species
UUUGAUCCUGGCUCAGAAUCAACGCUGGCGGCGCGCCUCAGACAUGCAAGUCGAACGAUUAAGACUCUCUUCGGAGAGUGUAUAAAGUGGCGCACGGGUGAGUAACACGUAGGUAAUGUACCGGAGGGUGGGGAAUAACUUAGGGAAACUUAAGCUAAUACCGCAUAAUGCAGCGGCUCGACAUCGAGACAGUUGUUAAAGGAGCAAUCCGCCUUUUGAGCAGCCUGCGGCAGAUUAGCUAGUUGGUAAGGUAAUGGCUUACCAAGGCUACGAUCUGUAACCGACCUGAGAGGGUGGUCGGUCACACUGACACUGAAUAACGGGUCAGACUCCUACGGGAGGCAGCAGUCGGGAAUUUUGGGCAAUGGGCGAAAGCCUGACCCAGCAACGCCGCGUGAAGGAUGAAGUAUUUCGGUAUGUAAACUUCGUAAGAAUAGGAAGAAUAAAUGACGGUACUAUUUGUAAGGUCCGGCUAACUACGUGCCAGCAGCCGCGGUAAUACGUAGGGACCAAGCGUUGUUCGGAUUUACUGGGCGUAAAGGGCGCGUAGGCGGCGUGGUAAGUCAGCUGUGAAAUCUCCGAGCUUAACUCGGAACGGUCAGCUGAUACUGCUGUGCUAGAGUACAGAAGGGGCAAUCGGAAUUCUUGGUGUAGCGGUGAAAUGCGUAGAUAUCAAGAGGAACACCUGAGGUGAAGACGGGUUGCUGGGCUGAUACUGACGCUGAGGCGCGAAAGCUAGGGUAGCAAACGGGAUUAGAUACCCCGGUAGUCCUAGCCCUAAACGAUGUAUGCUUGGUGUCUGGAGUUUUAAUCUCCGGGGUGCCGUCGCUAACGCUUUUAGCAUACCGCCUGGGGGAGUACGCACGCAAGUGUGAAACUCAAGGAAAUUGACGGGGACCCCGCACAAGCGGUGGAGCAUGUGGUUUAAUUCGACGCACGCGAGACCUUACCUGGACUAGAUGUGAGGAUGUUACCUACAGAUACAGUCUGAGCAAUCAGAACCCAAACAAGAA